AUUGAACGCUGGCGGCAGGCCUAACACAUGCAAGUCGAACGAGUGGCGGACGGGUGAGUAAUGUCUGGGAAACUGCCCGAUGGAGGGGGAUAACUUCUGGAAACGGUAGCUAAUACCGCAUACCAUCGGAUGUCCCCAGAUGGGAUUAGCUAGUAGGUGGGGUACUGGCUCACCUAGGCGACGAUCCCUACCUGGUCUGAGAGGGUGACCAGCCACACUGGGACUGAGACACGGUCCAGACUCCUACGGGAGGCAGCAGUGGGGAAUAUUGCGCAAUGGGCGCAAGCCUGAUACAGCCAUGCCGCGUGUAUGAAGAAGGCCUUCGGGUUGUAAAGUACUUUCAGCGGGGAGGCGUUACUCACAGAAGAAGCACCGGCUAACUCCGUGCCAGCCGCCGCGGUAAUUC
rnacentral:rRNA from 1 species